GUACUUACCUGGCAGGGGAGAUACCAUGAUCACGAAGGUGGUUUUCCCAGGGCGAGGCUCACCCAUUGCACUCCGGGUGUGCUGACCCCUGCGAUUUCCCCAAAUGUGGGAAACUCGACUGCAUAAUUUGUGGUAGUGGGGGACUGCGUUCGCACUAUCCCCUG
ensembl:snRNA U1 U1 spliceosomal RNA